rnacentral:misc_RNA from 1 species
GAUGUAUAUGAAUUACGGCAAAUGAUAAAAGAUAAGAAAAAAAAUCUUCAUAAGGACAGAGACAAAGACAAAGACAAAGAUAAAGAAUUUGAAAGGGAGCAUGAAAGAGAAAGUGCACGGGUAAGAGAGAAAGAUAGGCAUGAAAGGGAGAAGGAAAGUGAAAAGGACAGAGAGAGGAUAGAAAAGGAAAAAGAGAGAGAAAAGCAGCAUGAGGAUAUUGCUGAUAGAGAAAUGGUUGCUGAUCAAGCGGAUCAGAAUAAUGACAAACAUGAAGAAAAUGGAAAUUCUGGAGAACCAAUGGAAGUCUCUACUACUUCAACAUCCCAGACGUGCGAGAUUCCUAGUUCUGAUGUGAUGAUUUUGGAGGGACA